rnacentral:rRNA from 1 species
AUUGAACGCUGGCGGCAGGCCUAACACAUGCAAGUCGAACGAGUGGCGGACGGGUGAGUAAUGUCUGGGAAACUGCCCGAUGGAGGCGGAUAACUACUGGAAACGGUAGCUAAUACCGCAUACCAUCGGAUGUGCCCAGAUGGGAUUAGCGUGUAGGUGAGGUAACGGCUCACCUAGGCGACGAUCCCUAGCUGGUCUGCGAGGAGGACCAGCCACACUGGAACUGAGACACGGCCCAGAGUCCGACGGGAGGCAGCAGUGGGGAAUAUUGGACAAUGGGCGCAAGUCUGAUGCAGCCAUGUCGCGUGUAUGAAGAAGGCCUGCGGGUUGUAAAGUACUUUCAGCGGGGAGGCGGUACCCGCAGAAGAAGCACCGGCUAACUCCGUGCCAGCAGCCGCGGUAAUUC